rnacentral:rRNA from 1 species
GGGCUUGCUCCUUCAUUAGUGGCGCACGGGUGAGUAACGCGUAGAUAAUCUGCCUGAUGAUCCGGGAUAACAGUUCGAAGGACUGCUAAUACCGGAUAAGCCCACGUGGUCUUUGGACCGUGCGGGAAAAGGGGGGGACCUUCGGGCCUUCUGUCAUCAGAUGAGUCUGCGUACCAUUAGCUAGUUGGUAGGGUAAAGGCCUACCAAGGCUACGAUGGUUAGCUGGUUUGAGAGAAUGAUCAGCCACACUGGAACUGAGACACGGUCCAGACUCCUACGGGAGGCAGCAGUGGGGAAUUUUGCGCAAUGGGCGAAAGCCUGACGCAGCAACGCCGCGUGAGUGAUGAAGGCUUUCGGGUCGUAAAGCUCUGUCGAGGGGAAAGAAGUGUACGGGGGCUAAUAUCCCCUGUACUUGACGGUACCCCUAAAGGAAGCACCGGCUAACUCCGUGCCAGCAGCCGCGGUAAUACGGGGGGUGCAAGCGUUGUUCGGAAUUAUUGGGCGUAAAGAGCGUGUAGGCGGUUUGUUAAGUCUGAUGUG